rnacentral:rRNA from 1 species
AGUGAACGCUGGCGGUGGGCCUAACACAUGCAAGUCGAACGGCAGCACAGAGGAGCUUGCUCCUUGGGUGGCGAGUGGCGGACGGGUGAGGAAUACAUCGGAAUCUACUCUGUCGUGGGGGAUAACGUAGGGAAACUUACGCUAAUACCGCACACGACCUACGGGUGAAAGCAGGGGACCUUCGGGCCUUGCGCGAUUGAAUGAGCCGAUGUCGGAUUAGCUAGUUGGCGGGGUAAAGGCCCACCAAGGCGACGAGCCGUAGCUGGUCUGAGAGGAUGAUCCGCCACACUGGAACUGAGACACGGUCCAGACUCCUACGGGAGGCAGCAGUGGGGAAUAUUGGACAAUGGGCGCAAGCCUGAUCCAGCCAUACCGCGUGGGUGAAGAAGGCCUUCGGGUUGUAAAGCCCUUUUGUUGGGAAAGAAAUCCAGCUGGCUAAUACCCGGUUGGGAUGACGGUACCCAAAGAAUAAGCACCGGCUAACUUCGUGCCAGCAGCCGCAGUAA